CACGUUUACUGCGGAAAGUUAGUGUGUUCCGAGGCAAGUGCCGGCUUGUGGAGCUUAAUUCAUUUUCUGUUCAAGCUUGCACUGUGUGCAGGUCGCCCCCGCAGAACGUACAAAGUGUAGUAAAAAACAUCGAAAAU
rnacentral:lncRNA from 1 species